GGCAGGGUCUGAAGCCUGGAGGAGCUAAGGGUAGCCGGCAUUCACAGAAGCUGGGCCAAACCGUUGGCAUCUCUGUGGAUCCAACACGACACAACAAGUCCACUGAGUCCCACAGGCCAAUGUACAGCAGCUAAAGGGGCGCGGGACCAAACGCAUCCUCUCCCCAGGAAGGUGCGCGGGACCAAACGCGUCCUCUCCCCAGGAAGGUGCGCGGGACCAAACGCGUCCUCUCCCCAGGAAGGUGCGCGGGACCAAACGCGUCCUCUCCCCAGGAAGGUGCGCGGGACCAAACGCGUCCUCUCCCCAGGAAGGUGCGCGGGACCAAACGCGUCCUCUCCCCAGGAAGGUGCGCGGGACCAAACGCGUCCUCUCCCCAGGAAGGUGCGCGGGACCAAACGCGUCCUCUCCCCAGGAAGGUGCGCGGGACCAAACGCGUCCUCUCCCCAGGAAGGUGCGCGGGACCAAACGCGUCCUCUCCCCAGGAAGGUGCGCGGGACCAAACGCGGCCUCUCCCCAGGAAGCCUUGGCCCCCAGAAAGGGAGACGGUUCAGCAGAAGAACUGAAAUUGGCCACCAGGUUGACAGGACCAGUUAUGCCCAUCAGGAACGGCUAGGGGAAGGAGAAAGCCUAAAUCAUCACCGAGGAGGAGAACUUCAAAGCCUUUGCUAGUCUCCGCAUGGCCUGUGCCACGACCUGGCUCUUCAGCAUAUGGAGAGCUGAGACAAGCUGCAGGAUGUUUAAAAGAGAAAACAAAUACCUGCUGGGGACUUUAAAAAAAGGGGGGGAGGCAUACCCAGCCUUAAACUGAGAGAGACCCUAGACAUUCAGGUAUACAUUUUGUGAACCAGGAAGGCCCCAGGGGAGGCCGCCCAGAAGGCUGGAGCAUGCAGAGUAAAAACCCACGUUUCCCUCCUGCAAGUGGCCCCAGGCAAGUGCAUACAAAUAGCACAUGGUGGAUGUCCUUCUCCCUACCGUUCACAUUUUCCAUGCAGCUAACCCUCAAAGUAGGAAAAGGGUGAACACAACACUUUUGUAUGUAUCCCUGUCCAGUCUACGGAAUACACCAGUGCUGACCCUGCCUGGGAGGCUCCCGCUGCUUGAGCGUGCCUGAGGAUGGGAAGCUCAUUGGUGGCAGGGUAAGGGGUCUCUGCGGUGCUGAUUUUGCUGGCUGGUCCUGAGGAUGGGAAGCUCAUUGGUGGCAGUGUUACAGGGUCUCUGUGGUGCUGAUUUUGCUGGCUGGUGCUGAGGAUGGGAAGCUCAUUGGUGGCAGUGUUACAGGGUCUCUGCGGUGCUGAUUUUGCUGGCCGGUCCUGAGGAUGGGAAGCUCAUUGGUGGCAGUGUUACGGGGUCUCUGCGGUGCUGAUUUUGCUGGCUGGUCCUGAGGAUGGGAAGCUCAUUGGUGGCAGUGUUAUGGGAUCUCUGCAGUGUUGAUUUUCCUGGCUGGUCCCGGGACUUUUAUAGACCUUAGAGGGGAGGAAGCGCAUGCCGACUGAUUCCAUGGGUGGCAUGGGUGGGUCCAGAAAAGGUACCACGAGUCCCCACUCAGGUCCGCAGGACUGGCAGCCCAGCCAUCAAGGCCCUCCCUGGCCUGAAAGUGGGACCUUUCCACAAAAAGGUAUGUAACAUUUUCAAUUUUCU
rnacentral:lncRNA from 1 species